rnacentral:rRNA from 1 species
GUAGGUGGCAAGCGUUGUCCGGAAUUAUUGGGCGUAAAGCGCGCGCAGGCGGGUCCUUUAAGUCUGAUGUGAAAGCCCACGGGCUCAACCGUGGAGGGUCAUUGGAAACUGGGGGACUUGAGUACAGAAGAGGAAAGCGGAAUUCCACGUGUAGCGGUGUAAUGCGUAGAGAUGUGGAGGAACACCAGUGGCGAAGGCGGCUUUCUGGUCUGUAACUGACGCUGAGGCGCGAAAGCGUGGGGAGCAAACAGGAUUAGAUACCCUGGUAGUCCACGCCGUAAACGAUGAGUGCUAAGUGUUAGGGGGUUUCCGCCCCUUAGUGCUGCAGCUAACGCAUUAAGCACUCCGCCUGGGGAGUACGGCCGCAAGGCUA